GGGCCCGCACAAGCGGUGGAGUAUGUGGUUUAAUUCGAUGCAACGCGAAAAACCUUACCUACUCUUGACAUACUUGGAAGCUCUUGUAAUGAGAGUGUGCCUUUUGGAACCAAGAUACAGGUGCUGCAUGGCUGUCGUCAGCUCGUGUCGUGAGAUGUUCCGUUAAGUCGGAUAACGAGCGCAACCCUUACCCUUAUUUGCCAGCGAUUCGGUCGGGAACUAUAAGGGGACUGCCGGUGAUAAACCGGAGGAAGGUGAGGACGACGUCAAGUCAUCAUGGCCCUUAUGACCAGGGCUACACACGUGCUACAAUGGCCGGUACAGAGAGCAGCCACUUCGCAAGAAGGAGCG
rnacentral:rRNA from 1 species